AAGUCGAAUGACAGAUGAGUGCAAUAAAAACUUUAUUGCACUAGUGCAAUAAAGAACUUCUCUUUCCACUAAAUAUAGUUCAAUAAAGUUUUGCUUUUUGCAUGAAUGUAGAAAAAAUUAAUUUAGCAUGACAACUGUAACUGGCCAAAUUUUCCAUUAAUCAAUCAAUUAUAACGAUCGUUAAUAUGAGGCUAAAUUUAGAUGAUCACGCGUGAAAGCGCGUUCCAUAAACCGCGCGACUAAAGAUGCAGAAUAGUCAUAUACAAAUGUUUAUAUGGUCGCGCGUAUACUUGCGAUCGCGCACGAUGGUCUUUGCUCUGUCGCCAAUAUAUUGAUUCGCGCGUAAUGUGCGUAUUGAAGUACAACAAUCAGACAUAGAAGUGUUCAGUUGAUGAGCGCGAUUAGAUCGGUUCGACGUACGAAGUUACAAGAUGGACGAGGAUUUCAACACCGACUUGUUUAUCGAUCAAGUAGAAAAAAGAACAGCCACUUGAAUUCGAAGGAAUAUUCUAAUAAAAUACUGAAGAAACGGGCUUGGGAGCAACAGUUUUGUUUUUUUGCAAUGGUGACGACACUGAAAGAAAAAAAAAGAAUUUAGGUAAGAACAACAUUUAUAUAUUUUUACUUUGAAUAUUAUUACAGAAGUAAUAUUGUUUAGACCAUUCCAUCCUGCCAGUUUAGCUUUCCAUUUACAAAGUAAUCUGUAAAUGCAGUUCCAACUUUAUCUGCGUCUCGAACUGCGCGCCCACUGUAGAUCACACAGUGGGCAUAUUCAACAAUGGUGUGGCAUGAACGGUAUCCUCGUGUGUGAUAUCAUCUUUAAUUCUGACAAAGUUGUGCAAGACAUAUAUAGCUUUUACAGUGUUUUCAGCAGUUAAGUUUAACGUCUAUGGGUCGGUGCAAAAUUUGCCAUUUGUUGCACAUAAUUCCAAACGUGCAUUCAACAUUCUUCGAGCUAACGAUACACGGAUCAUCACUACAGAAGAAAUGGGAGAAUUCACGUGAUGUAUAUGGGAAGGUAUGAAACGAAUUAAAACUUUAAAAUCUGGUUCAGCAGCAAUUUCGAAAUCUAUUUCGGCGUAUUUUCAAAGGCAACAUUUUUGCAAUCGACCGUAUAAAAAAGAAAAUGUGACAGUAGUUUUCAAGCAGACUUUCCCGAAUCAGUUGAUGGAAACAGUGACAGCAGCUUCAGACCUCCGGGAGAAUAUUCACUUGCUACAAAGAAAUAAAAACUUCAUAGAGCCGACGAUCACUCUGCCAAAAUAUUAGGAGAGAGCAUUAACCAAAGAAUACCUAUAGAAAAAAAAGAAGACGAUGAAGAUAAACUAUUGUGCCUAUCAUUAUUUAAAGAACUAAAGAAAAUACCCGAGCACAACCCUUUAAGAUUGAAGAUUGAAAUAUAUGAUUCAAUAGCACAAAACCAAGUACAGGAAAACACUCCGCAAUUCCAGGAACGGUAGCCACUGUUUUCUAAUGCAUUUAUAUACGAUAUUUCCUAUUUAACAAAUCAGCCAUCUAGUUCUUACAGUCAACAAAAAAGCAAAUCUCCAUGAACGCCAACCAUUGCCUAGAAACAACAGAUUAGUUACACAACAGAAUUCAGUGCGACCCUAUGAGUAUUAACCUCAUCCUCACUAUGGAUAUACGACAUAUAUUAAGCAGAUACUACAAAUACAAACUCACAAUAUA